rnacentral:rRNA from 1 species
GACGAACGCUGGCGGCGUGCUUAACACAUGCAAGUCGAACGGAAAGGCCCUGCUUUUGUGGGUUGCUCGAGUGGCGACCGGGUGAGUAACACGUGAGUAACCUGCCCUUUCCUUUGGGAUAACUUCAGGCAACUGUGGCUAUUACCGGAUAGGAGCUCCUGCUGCAUGUUGGGGGUUGGAAAGUUUCGGCGGUUGGGGAUGUACUCGCGGCUUAUCAGCUUGUUGGUGGGGCAGUGUCUUACCAAGGCUUUGACGGGUAGCCGGGCUGAGAGGGUGACCGGCAACAAUGGGACGGAGAUACGGCACAGACUACUACGGGAGGCAGCAGUGGGGAAGAUUGCAAAAUGGGAGGAAGGAUGAAGCAGAAAAGCAGCGGGGGGGAUGACGGCCUUCGGGGUGGAAAACGAAGUAGCCUGUGAAGAAGAGUGAGUGACGGUAAUGGGAAAAGAAGCACCGGCUAACUACGUG